GCACACUCAAAAGAUAUGUUUGAAAAUUCUGCCUCAGAAAUAAAUAAAAUAAAAUUUCUGAGGCAGUUUGUUACAACCGUUUCAAAGUUUCCAAUAAAAUUCACCACUCUUGAAAUGCAAAGUCUGAAAAAUGAAACAAGAGUGCCAUUGGAAUUCUGGUUGCCAGCUCUGAUCUCUACAGGAGUUAUUCCAGAGUGUAACAAAAGCAGCAACAGAAAUAACCUUUGGCAUUAGAGCACCAUCCUGCAUUAAUUGGUCCUGGCAACAGAGCUUUGCUUUUGAACCCCUCUGAUAAUGAAACCUUGCCAGAACUGUGAGAUUAUAAUGUUGAUUUUCUUAAGAAGUUGUGAGUCCUUAACCCAGCAUCUCCAGGUGAGCCCCUGCAAUAGGAGAGUCCUGUUCCUGCCGUCAGUGGAGAGGAGGGAUCAGGAAGAAAAGUGACAGAUGCCCACCUGAACAGGGCACAAGAGGCUGAGCAAGUUCCAGGUUGCCCCAGAUCUCCCAAAGGGAAAAAUCCAUGCCAGGAAAAAAAGUCCAAAUGUGUGUUCAAAUCAAAAGGGGAAAAAAGGCUUUUUUCCUCUUUAGACGACAGAUACAGCUUUACUUUAUGGCAAUUGGACAGACAGAGUUGCUUCUGUUCAGCACAGCCCUGCUCUUCUCAGGAGCCCACGAGACACGAGCAUGGACUGUCCUCCUGGGCCCCUCCUGCCGUGCCUGUGUCCCAGUGCUGUGGGCAGCAGCCAGGGAGCUGGAGACACGAGUGUGCAGCCAGAAGGACAGCCUGGCCAGGGGUGCUGCAGUGCCCAAUCCAAGGCUCCCGGGGUGCUGUGGCGGUGCCGAGUGGGAAAACCCUCCUGGCGGUGCUGGACAAGAUCCCCCGGCAGCAAAGGCAGCUGCUCCAUCUCCAGGGCACUCUCUCAAUCCGGGGUUGCAGGAGCAGGAUAAGGAAUAUCCCUGCACCUUGUUCCUUGUGGCAAGAGGCUCCAUCCCUGUAGGAGCCUCCGUGAGCCCUGCUGGCUGGAGGCCGGAGGAAUCCCGGGGGACAGGUCUCCCUUGUCCCCUGGAGCCGUGGGGAUCAGCAGACCCCGCUCAUCCCUGAGGAUGCUCAUGGCCAGGAGGAGACUGAGAGCAACAAGCCUGUUCCAGUGAGGCAUUCCCAGGAUAGAGUGGCACAGCAGCAAGUGUUGGUGCCCAAUCCAUGGCUCCCAGGAUGCUGCCAUAUGGGAAGACCUUCCACGCGGUGCUGGAGAAGAUGCUGCAGUGGCAAAGAGAAGUGUUCCCAUCUCCAAACUCUCUCCUGAUCCAGCUGUGGAGGAGCAGGAUAAGGAAUAUCUCCACACCUCCAUUACUCCUGGCAAGAGCCUCCAUCCUUCCCAGAGCCUCCAUGGAUAAGAGUCCCUGCUCCCGUGGAGCAGUGGGUAUCUGCAGACCCCGCUAAUCCAGUCCCAGUGGGAGCCCAGCCCAUUCCAUUCCUGGAUUCCCAG